rnacentral:lncRNA from 1 species
AUGAAGAGCUUCCAGAAGAUGGAUGAAGAGUCUGUAAAUUUGGAAGAGGCAGAAGAUAGCAAUGAGGUAAUGCUGAUUGCUCUCCUCAUGGUAGUACAGUUACCACAAGCUAAUGUGGACUUCUUGCUGGACAGACUGGGUAAUGCAUGAAAUGCCUUCUAAGGAUGUGGAUAUAAAAAACUCAGAUGGCAGACAUAUAAAAACCCACUUCUAAAGACAUUCUGAGGGGAAUUCAGUGCUGCUCUCAGAGCAAGCGUUUUACAUCUACUCAAUUUAAAACUAUGUGUUAUGGAUAAUUUUAGAUAUUUAUUUUUUAUUUCAAUAUGAGGAAGAGGAAACUCAAAUGACUUUUUCUGUGCUGAUGCUGGAUUCUGUAUAUAGCCUCAGAAUGAGUCUGACAUUAAAAGUAAAAAUGAGUUAAAUUCUCAUAUCUUUUUUUUUGGAAAAAACAUAACCCAAACCCCAAACUGUGUGGGAGGAAGAGGCAGUGCUCUGUCUGGGAGAUCUGAGGGGAAAACUUUCAGAAUGCUCACAGCCCACAUGAUCACAUGGUGUAAAUUCUUGGGGAGGGAAUUCUUUGGCAGCCUAACUAUAUAAUUUUCCUCAGAGCAGAAGACUUUAUGUUAAAGUUUUAAAAUCACAGUAAGAUUUAAAGAAUUGCUCUUUAAUUAAGAAAAUGGCUAGAUAUUUUCCUAUAGUUUCCUUUCAGAAAAUAGGUUUCUUAACAAUUUAAUGCAAUGGUUGGAGUAAUGACAGAAAAGCACAGACUCACCGCACACUCAUUUAGGAACAUGUGUGUUUGUUUAGGUGUGAACCCCAAUUAGGAAUAUGCAUUAAAUUAUUCUAUUUUCAUGCAAUUAGGUGGAUUAAAUGAUCAGAUCCCACAAGGAUAGUUCUGUUAAAAUCAUGGCUAGAUUGACAGUUCUCAAGUUCAGAUAUCUCCCCUUGAAAUUGAAGUAACCAAAUGUAAUAGUUCCUCUGCCAACUCUUGAUUUUUAGUGUGUAAAUUAUGCAUGAAUGUUACAUUGACUGCCAAGGGUCAAUAACAACACAUCAUCGGGGGCCCAGAUGGUUUGAGUUCUGCUGUGUGCCAGCUUGAUGCUGAAGGAGAUAUAAAAAGUUUAAUAAUGGUCAUAGUUAAU